rnacentral:rRNA from 1 species
GACAGAGGCCCCAAGCGUUAGGCGGAAUCACUGGGCUUAAAGCGUGUGUAGGCGGAUCGUUAAGUGUCUUGUGAAAUCCCACGGCUCACCCGUGGAACUGCUGGGCAUACUGGCGAUCUUGGGCCAACUAGGGGCAGCUCGGAACAAGCGGUGGAGCGGUGAAAUGCGUAGAUAUCGCUUGGAACGCCGAAGGUGAAAACAGGACUGCUGGGGUUGCGCCGACGCUGAGACACGAAAGCCAGGGGAGCAAACGGG